GGUACGCUUAUAUAUAUGUAUUUCAUUUAGUACGGACUCCUUGAUCCAAGAAGCUAUUCGUAUCAAGUUUUCCAAAUGUACAGUUCUAACAAUUGCUCAUAGACUUAAUACAGUAAUUGAUUCAGAUAGAAUGCUCGUCCUUAGUGAUGGACGAAUUGAGGAAUUUGAUGAGCCUCAUACCCUCUUACAAAAUGAUCAUAAUCUCAUUUCCCAUUUGGUUGAACAAACUGGGCCUGCUAUGUCAGAAAAGCUACGAAACAUUGCCAAAUUGCAUUUUGAGGAAAGGAGAAAUAAUCAAGAACAUCAUCCAGGAUUUAUUGAUGAGGAUAAUUUCGUCAUGACUCAUUUAUAAUUACAAUUAUCGAAACAUUUUUCCGACUUAUGCAGUAGGCCUGGUUGCUCCUUCCACAGUUCACUUAUGUACCUACUUAUGUGAGCUACGGACAAAGCCAAUAUUUUUUUAUGAACAUAGUUAGUUGACUAAAAAUAAAAAGUUAUAUUUGUCUGUGUUGAUCUUGUUUCAAAAAAUUAUAUAGAGUAAUAUUUAAAAGUGACUCAUAAAGCAAAA
rnacentral:lncRNA from 1 species